rfam:Oryza sativa Japonica Group DNA, chromosome 11, cultivar: Nipponbare, complete sequence.
GGAUGCGAUCAUACCAGCACUAAAGCACCGGAUCCCAUCAGAACUCCGAAGUUAAGCGUGCUUGGGCGAGAGUAGUACUAGGAUGGGUGACCUCCUGGGAAGUCCUCGUGUGUGUUGCAUCCC